UUAACACUGCCCUGAAAUAAUAUGUUAAAAUAUAAAAAAUAAUAAUUUUAAUCACAGAAAGCCAAACAAGCAUGGAGUUUUUAUGUAUUUAUAUUUUUCCAAAUAUAUGUUUUUCCAUGUCAUGGUGACACUUACAUGUCACUGAUCACUUUGUUAUUCGUGUCAUCAUUUCAUCAUAAACAAUCUUUUGUUAAUUUAUAUUAAAGGUGUGUCUUGUAAACUAUCCAGUAGUGAUAAGCAUGUUUAAUUAAUACACAAGCGUUGAGGAUAAGACUACUGCUUUUUAAGUGGAGCGUAAACUUCUGCUCUAUUUGAAAGAAAGGUCACGCACAAUGAAUAUAAUAUUGCGGCAGUUAGUGGACACCCCACUGGUGAAACCUGCUCAACGUUUGAUUGACAGUCCUCAAACCCGCCCCCUUUACCGAUAUUCCCUUUGGGUAUGUAAAAAUAUCACCGCGAGUGAUGUUUUCAGACCGUCUUUAGCCAUAAUAUAGGAAAGAACAGCGAAAAACAACAUACACAGAUCAUUCUCCAAUACCUCUGCUAUAAAGCUGCUCCUCCACAAACAGUGAGAGGGCUUUCUCAGUGAUCUCUGGCAUCUAAAUGGAGUCUUUUCCUGUCUACAACAAUAAUAACCAAUCUGGAAAUCCCCCUGCUUUGCUGCUGUCUGUUGAACCAUUCAUGGCAGAUGGACUAUUCUGAUGAUGUCGUUCAACCUUUUCUGGAUCUUUGCUUACUUGGCAGUCAAUGGGACAGUCACAAGCCACCCAGUUUUCAUCCAGAAUAUCUUAAAUUGUGUUCCGAAGAUGAAUAAAG